GAGGCAUAGCUCAGUUGGUUAGAGCGCACGGUUCACAUCCGUGAGGUCGCGGGUUCAAAUCCCUCUGUCUCC
rnacentral:tRNA from 1 species